UCUCCGUUGGUGAACCAGCGGAGGGAUCAUUACAGGACUCGCAAGACUCCUACAACCCUGUGAACUUAACUAUAAGCACGUUGCUUCGGCGGGUGUCUCGGAGGGGGUUCUCCCUCCCCGAGCCGCUAAACCCGCCGGCAGCCUACUAUACUCUGUCUCUUUGCGUUGGCAUCUCGAGUACAAUCAAACAAGUUAAAACUUUCAACAACGGAUCUCUUGGUUCUG
rnacentral:misc_RNA from 1 species